CUCCAUUAAAAUUCUCACACAAAUUGGUAUUCCUUCCUCCUCCGCCUCGCCCCUCUCCGAGUCCGCUCCAAUGCCGUUGCCUCUCUCCUCCUCCUCCACAUAAACGCCUCGGGCCUCCCGGACCCAAACCCUAGCGCUCCCCGACCACGCCGAGCUCGCCGGAAUCCACCCAAUCCGAGCCGAAUUCGCUCGGGUCCCGGCCGAUCCGGCGGCUUCUCGGCUGAAAAUUUUGGGGCCGUGUCCCUGCGCAUGCUCGCCUGAUCGCGUUCGAUGGGCACGCUGGGGUCCGCCAAUGGCAGGCGCGGCGAGUACGUGAGGAUCCCGGAGGAGGUGGAGGCGGCCAAGGAGGAGGCCGCUGCGGGCGCGAAGGCGGCGGAGUGCCCGAGGGGCCUGCGGUGGCGCGCGAUCCGGUGGUGGGCCAAGGUCGCCGUGCUCGGGAUCUUACUCGCCGGCGCCGGCGCCGCAGCCGUCGUCUUCCUGGGGCCGCUCUUCAUUAAGAAGGUGGUUGCACCUAUUCUUUGCUGGGUGUCAACGACUUUCAGCAGACCAGCUCUUGCUCUAUUAUGUUUCGGCACAAUCGCCUUAUUCCCAAGCAUAUUGCUACCUUCUUCACCCUUCAUGUGGAUUGCGGGGAUGACUUUUGGUUAUGGUUAUGGAUUUUUGAUAAUUACAGCAGCCAUGAGCAUAGGCAUGUCAUUGCCAUAUUUUAUAGGCUCUACAUUUCAUUGUAGGAUACAUAUAUGGUUGGAGAAGUGGCCAAAGAAAGCAGCUUUUGUUAGACUUGCUGGUGAAGGAGAUUGGUCCCAUCAAUUUAGGGCAGUUGCUUUACUCAGGAUUUCUCCAUUUCCAUAUAUAGUUUUUAACUAUGCUUCUGUGGCUACAAAUGUCAAAUAUUGUCCAUAUAUAGCUGGUUCAAUGGCUGGAACCAUACAUGAAACAUUCCUUGCAAUAUACAGCCCCCAGCGACUGUCAGUGGGACCAAGGCCUGUGGAUUUGGUCAAAUCCAUUUGACUCAGCUCUGGCCGACUGAGGACGUCACGAGCUUCAGUGUGUAAGUGUGAACUCAGCCGAGUAGAUAUUGGCCAAUGGGCUCGGCCAGAAAAAUUGGCCGGCGGCAUGCUCCCGAAGUGGCAGCGCUUGGAACCCCACGGUGGUCUGUACCGAUGUCAGGCUGAGGCCAAAAUGGUGCGUGCAAAAGGGGAGGGUGACCCCGCGAAGCUCAGCAUGGGCUCGAAUGACCGGGAGGUGUGCUGCUGCAGCGGUUCGACGGCAAGGCGGCGAAGAGACUCGCCAGAGCCAUGGAAGAAAACAGCACAGAUCUCAAUCGGGUUGGAAGGCGGUGGAUUCACACGGGUUUCGCGCGAGAACUCCAACGACCUUGUGCCUGGCUUCUCUUGGCUCGGUAGCGGUGGAUCUCGUCGGGACGUGGCGGAUUCAGCCGGCGGCGCAGUGGUCUUCACGGUCAGAGUUGAAGGAGACGGCUCGACGCGCGGGAAGACGAGGAGUAGCUCGGGAGAGAUGUGGAGGACAGGGUAGGGUGAUGCAGCGCGGCUUGCCUAGGCUGUGGAGCUGUGUGCAGAGGCGAGCUCUGUGGGAAGAAAUAAUGGAGAGAGAGAGAGAGAGAGAGAGAGAGAGAGAGAGAGAGAGGGAGCAGUGAAUAGAGGAGACAAAUGGGAGAGGGAAACAACGGCUAAGGGCACUUUGGCCAUUUUUCCAUUAGACUGACAAGCCAACUAGGCCUAACGGUGACUUUUAGUAAUGGAGCAGACGGAAGUGGCACCAAGAGGAGCCCAAAAUUAAAUGGGAAACUUCUUCAAAACUUGGCUGUAGCAACUAGCGAAGGGUCUUUCUUGUCAGUGGACCAGAUCAUCUACAAUGGGAUUGGGUUUUCAAUUGCUGCAGUUUCCACUGCUGCAAUCACUAUUUAUGCAAAGAAAGCGC